CGCCAGGGCGGCGUGCUUACACAUGCAAGUCGAACGAUGAACCGCUUUCGGGCGGGGAUUAGUGGCGAACGGGUGAGUAACACGUGGGCAAUCUGCCCUGCACUCUGGGACAAGCCCUGGAAACGGGGUCUAAUACCGGAUAUGACUGUCCAUCGCAUGGUGGAUGGUGUAAAGCUCCGGCGGUGCAGGAUGAGCCCGCGGCCUAUCAGCUUGUUGGUGAGGUAGUGGCUCACCAAGGCGACGACGGGUAGCCGGCCUGAGAGGGCGACCGGCCACACUGGGACUGAGACACGGCCCAGACUCCUACGGGAGGCAGCAGUGGGGAAUAUUGCACAAUGGGCGAAAGCCUGAUGCAGCGACGCCGCGUGAGGGAUGACGGCCUUCGGGUUGUAAACCUCUUUCAGCAGGGAAGAAGCGAAAGUGACGGUACCUGCAGAAGAAGCGCCGGCUAACUACGUGCCAGCAGCCGCGGUAAUACGUAGGGCGCAAGCGUUGUCCGGAAUUAUUGGGCGUAAAGAGCUCGUAGGCGGCUUGUCACGUCGGUUGUGAAAGCCCGGGGCUUAACCCCGGGUCUGCAGUCGAUACGGGCAGGCUAGAGUUCGGUAGGGGAGAUCGGAAUUCCUGGUGUAGCGGUGAAAUGCGCAGAUAUCAGGAGGAACACCGGUGGCGAAGGCGGAUCUCUGGGCCGAUACUGACGCUG
rnacentral:rRNA from 1 species